AGAGUUUGAUCCUGGCUCAGGAUGAACGCUGGCGGCGUGCCUAAUACAUGCAAGUCGAGCGAACGGACGAGAAGUUUGCUUCUCUGAUGUUAGCGGCGGACGGGUGAGUAACACGUGGAUAACCUACCUAUAAGACUGGGAUAACUUCGGGAAACCGGAGCUAAUACCGGAUGAUAUUUUGAACCGCAUGGUUCAAAAGUGAAAGACGGUCUUGCUGUCACUUAUAGAUGGAUCCGCGCUGCAUUAGCUAGUUGGUAAGGUAACGGCUUACCAAGGCAACGAUGCAUAGCCGACCUGAGAGGGUGAUCGGCCACACUGGAACUGAGACACGGUCCAGACUCCUACGGGAGGCAGCAGUAGGGAAUCUUCCGCAAUGGGCGAAAGCCUGACGGAGCAACGCCGCGUGAGUGAUGAAGGUCUUCGGAUCGUAAAACUCUGUUAUUAGGGAAGAACAUAUGUGUAAGUAACUGUGCACAUCUUGACGGUACCUAAUCAGAAAGCCACGGCUAACUACGUGCCAGCAGCCGCGGUAAUACGUAGGUGGCAAGCGUUAUCCGGAAUUAUUGGGCGUAAAGCGCGCGUAGGCGGUUUUUUAAGUCUGAUGUGAAAGCCCACGGCUCAACCGUGGAGGGUCAUUGGAAACUGGAAAACUUGAGUGCAGAAGAGGAAAGUGGAAUUCCAUGUGUAGCGGUGAAAUGCGCAGAGAUAUGGAGGAACACCAGUGGCGAAGGCGACUUUCUGGUCUGUAACUGACGCUGAUGUGCGAAAGCGUGGGGAUCAAACAGGAUUAGAUACCCUGGUAGUCCACGCCGUAAACGAUGAGUGCUAAGUGUUAGGGGGUUUCCGCCCCUUAGUGCUGCAGCUAACGCAUUAAGCACUCCGCCUGGGGAGUACGACCGCAAGGUUGAAACUCAAAGGAAUUGACGGGGACCCGCACAAGCGGUGGAGCAUGUGGUUUAAUUCGAAGCAACGCGAAGAACCUUACCAAAUCUUGACAUCCUUUGACAACUCUAGAGAUAGAGC
rnacentral:rRNA from 1 species